rnacentral:lncRNA from 1 species
UCUUUCCAACUCACCACAUAGGAUGACUUGAGCUUUAAGGAAACACAGAUGCACAAGUCCCAGUCUACUGCGGCCAGUUUAGGCUCAGAGCACACCCGUCUUCAAAUGGACCUGGAGAAAGUAGAACAGCUUGAGACAAAAAUAACGUCAGAGCUUGAAUCACUGAAAGAAAGGAUCCAGACAAUGACCCAGGAACUUGAGACGUACAGUGAUUUGGAUACUCUGAGAGAACAAUCUGAAGAGAAGAAAACGGUAACAUUAUGAUGCAUAGAAAGUCAGGAGGGAGUGACCCCAACAUAAGAAGUGCCUUAUAACUGAUAAGCGUUAUCAUAUAACUGAGAAAAUUACUUCAUUGUGAUUACCUGAGAGCAGGUCAAUUUAUGGUUGAUUUUAAAUUUGCACUGCAGUGCGAAUUCACGCGCGCGCUUUCGUGAUUUUCCCAGUAAUAUAAUGAAUAAGAAACGUGUGAAGGCUCCUGCAAUUAAGGAUUUACAAGGCUGUUGCCUAAGGAAAUUUUUAAGGAGCCCAAGCCACUUUU